UACAGAGGGGGCAAGCGUUGUUCGGAAUUACUGGGCGUAAAGGGCGCGUAGGCGGCCUGCUAAGUCGAACGUGAAAUCCCCGGGCUCAACCCGGGAACUGCGUCCGAUACUGACAGGCUUGAAUCCGGGAGAGGGAUGUGGAAUUCCAGGCGUAGCGGUGAAAUGCGUAGAUAUCUGGAGGAACACCGGUGGCGAAGGCGGCAUCCUGGACCGGUAUUGACGCUGAUGCGCGAAAGCCAGGGGAGCAAACGGG
rnacentral:rRNA from 1 species